CUGCUCCUCGGGCUUGGUCCUUUCCGUGUGGUCCCGACCUGCCCUGCAGGAGCGAGAGAAAUGGAACUGGCUUGGGCGCGUCCUGUCUGAGUGGACACAGGCCACCGUGGUUUCCAGUACGACA